AAGACUAUAGACCUGCGGAGUACCUGCGGAAGGAUCAUUAAAGAGUUUAACUACUCAAACCAUUGUGAACCUUACCUCAACCGUUGCUUCGGCGGGCGGGCCCGGGCCAAGCCCGGCGCCCCCCCGGCCCCUCGCGGGCGCCCGCCGGAGGUUAACCGAACCCUUGAAUUGUAUGGCCUCUCUGAGUCUUCUGUACUGAAUAAGUCAAAACUUUCAGCAAUGGAUCUCUAGAUCGGAAGA
rnacentral:misc_RNA from 1 species